GCGAGGACCAGAAAGAUAUCGCGCGCGGCCCCGCCCCCGCGCGCGACCCCGCCCCUUCUCGCCCCGCCCUGCCCCGCCCUUCUUCUUCUUCUCUGGUUCCUUACUGCACCGCUCAACUAGGUCAACGCAAGGUGAUCUCCGGGAGAGAGGCAGUGCUCUGAGCGCGCCACCUUUUACGUGUCGCGCCGUCGUCCCUCCUUCCCUCGCCCCGCACCCUCGCCUCGCCCUUUCGGACUGUCCGGGAACUGGUUCCCUCCAGCCGCCCUCACCUGUUCUGCCUCCCCCUGGAGGCAUAACAGUUAGAGAGAUCAGUCGUGGGAGAUUAGAUUUCUCGGCGUCAAACUUCCAUCUAGGCAACCGCCCUAGGCUGGAGCUGGCCUCUCAGUCGACCUUACCUUUGUUGGAGGGUGGUGGUGUGCGGGGGGGCAGGCGUGGAGAUUGUGAGGAACGGGAGAGGCGAGCUGAGAGAAGGGGCGAGAGGCUACAGUAACUUAGAAAAAGCAAUUGGAGGGGUCAAAGAAGGCGUAUUUGACAUUAGUGUUGCUAUAAAAACCUGUUUACUACUACUUCUCGUCCCCCGGACUUCUGUUUGGUCUGAGUGCAGCUCUCCUCUCGGAGACACUGAGUCAGUACAUUGCUGGUCUUGCCCUCUUUUGGAAAAAGAAAAUAGCCUUGAGGAUUCGUAGUCCCUAUCCAAACCUCCUGGGGCCUUUUAAACCAGGUGCCAAGCUGAAUUGUCCACCGCACCACCUUGCCCGCAGGAGGCAAGCUGUUUAGGGGAAGCAUGGCGUGUGCUGGGCGCUGACAGCGACUUCGUGUGACUCUGAAGGGCACGCUGGAAAGUUUCCUAGAUUGAAGUGAAGAAGAUUGGCCCUAAGCUAACAUCUGUUGCCAAUCUUCCUCUUUUUGCUUGAGGAAGAUUGUCCCUGAGCUAACAUCUGCACCAAUCUUCCUCUAUUUGCGUCUCCAUCACCUCCUGGCCAGCCCUCAGGAUGAAGUCCAAGUUCUCCACUAUAUGCAUGCAUGCCAAGCGGUGCCAUGUCCACACCGGGGAUCCGAACUGGUGAACCCUGGGCCGCCAAAGCGGAACGUGCGCACUUAACCCCUGUGCCACUGGGCCGGCCCCUGCUUCCUCUCCUUGAAUGCGAAGAUUAGACGUGUGCAUUUCAUUUCUGCGUUUCUAGCAUCCAGCAUAGUUUCCUCACACAGACUGAAUGAAUGAAUAAAUGGAUAAAAGAAAAUGAUGAUCAGAAAAGUUACAUGACUGGCCCAAGGUCACAAUAAAGGAGCAGUUUGCCAAGUAAAAGUGUGGAAAUUCUCAUGCAACAAGAAAAAGUAGAACCAGCCGUUGGAGGGACAGUGGCAGAGUGGCAGCCAAGGGACCGGCCCUGAGACGUGGCUGCUUUGUUUCCUGGCGAAGAGGUGUUCUAGUGGCUCUUGGCUUGAGAUGUGAGGCCUGCGCUGAAGGAGCAGGAGUCCACCAGGAAGGGCCACUUUGAGAGUGAAGCUCACCUAGGUCAGCAGCAGAAGGAGCACGGGCCACAACCAAGGUCUGCAUAACGCAACGAUGCAUCAAAUCACGAGGAGGACGGAGUGCUGCCAUCCGUGCCACCUGGUGAGUGUUCUCCCCACACCCCAUCCCCGAGGAUGGAGAGCUAAUUUUUAAAAAAUCGAAAAUAUCGUUACAUGCUUAUUUGAAAAAA
rnacentral:lncRNA from 1 species